ensembl:lncRNA
UUUAUAUCUACAGCAUGCUUCAUAUCAUAUCUUGUUACAGAUCACCAAGAAGCUGGCUGGGACAGCGAGGGGAACGGGACUCUGGCUUACCUCUGUUGGCAACGAGUUUGGUCAGGUGCUCAUAAGUGUGCUGACAGCCCAGGAAGGAGCAGGACUGGACAUGAUGGUAGACGGUCUGGUGAAAAGAUACCAGCAGGCUGGUGUGAAUCCUCCUGCUGUGUUGUACGUGGACUGUGGGUGCUGCACCGAGGUGGGCGAGACCAAGCUGAAAACCAGAUUCAGAGGCUGGCCAGAUCUCAUGAUACGCUUGGACAUCUGGCAUUUUAUGCGCAGGAUUGCCUUGGGGUGUACAACUGAUGCCCAUCAGCUGUACCCCAUCUUCAUGUCACGGCUAUCAUCAUGCAUCUUUGAAUGAGAUGCAGCUGAUAUUUCUAUGUUUCGCAAAGCAAAGAGAGAGCUGUUGAUGUCCCAGGGUUGGCCUACGCUGACAGAUGAAGAUGUCAGCAAGCAUCUGACCAGGGAGGAGCUGGCUCUACAUUGCCGGAGGAGGACACGUGGAGAGGAGACUACCAUCCUUCUCCUUGAACGACUGCUUACAGAGCUCCUGAGCAGCAAGGGAAAUGACUCCCUGGGUGUUCCUCUCCUGGACCGAGAAAGGAUGGAGCAAACCUGGAGUGUCCAGAAGAAGCACAUCAAGUGUAUCCAAGACCCCCCUGGUGUUGCCCUCGGGAGCUUAACCAAGGGAGGUGUGCUUCUGAAGACAUGUGCCAGAGGCUCCACUUCUUUUGAAUCCUUUCAUUUACACCUUAACCAUUUCAUCCCACGGACCAGUGCAAACAGUCUGAACUUUCAGAUUUAUUUGCUGGAGGGUCUACACAGGUGGAACCAGGAUCAGGAGGCUGCUUCCCUGUCAUCGGAGCCAUCAGCUUUACGCAGCUACACAGGAGAACUUGUUCACUGUGUAAACAGCAAUUAUGAAAAGCUGUUUGGCAGGAAAGAGGUCCCCUCAUUUUGUCCACCUGCACGUAACACUGGUAAAAUAAUGUAUUAUCAUUAAUUAACUUGCAAUUUCUGUGUAAUCUCAGUCUAUAUUUUAUUUAAGCCUAUAAAGUCUACUGUAU